rnacentral:rRNA from 1 species
GCUUAUUACCAUUCCAGAUUGAAUAAUACCCGAUCUCGUUUGAUCUCGGAAGUCAGAAUCAAUCUCGGGCUUGGUUAGUACUUGGAUGGGUGACCGCUUGGGAAUACCAAGUGUGAUAAGCA